rnacentral:lncRNA from 1 species
CGUGGAACUUUUGCGUCUCAAGCAAGGUCCUAUGAACUUGUUUGGACGGACUAGGACUAGUUGGUAACCCAAUCUUGGAUCCUGGGCUAACAUAGAAAGAGAGAGAAGAGAGAAUAUGAUAGCUAAUAUAGAAAGAUAGAGGUGACAGAAUAGGACGGUGAUAGGUAGCACUUUUAGCUCGUGUUAGCUGGAUUUGAACAAGUGAAAUAACAACUAGUUGGGGUUUUAGCUAAAUUUUAGCCCAUCCAUUAGUCCUCUUGUUGGAUCCUUAAAAGCUAAACUUUAGCAAAUAGUUGUUAGUCCAUGAAAUUCAAACAGACCUAUGCAUGCAUGGACACUUUGGCAAAAGUAAAAGACAAGCAUCAAUCGGAUCUAUACUUUAAGGAUGCCUCAAAAUCUCCUCCCCGCCCCAAUGCCCUCGAGUGAAACACCCCACUGAGUCAUUGGUUUGUUCGUUACAUCUAUGCACCCGUUCAUCUCCCUAUCACAUCCGUCUUCCAGCAACCACCUAAAUUCGUUGGUGCAUGUCACCUUUCCUGUAUUUUCUAGCCUUUUCUGUCAUCACCUAUAACAUUCCACAUUUCCACUAGGAACCAAAUUAAAUUUUUAUUUUUAUUUUUUUAACAACAUGAUUAGUGAUGUGUGCAUCUAAUAACUUUAGGCACCUACUCCCAUGCUUAUAAAAUAUUUGGGUUGUUGUUCAUAGAUUCUCACUCGCUUGACUCUCGCCUAGUAAUACUUUUUCCUAAAUAAAAAAAAUAAAAGUCCAUCUUUAUUUAUGUUUAUGCGUGUAUGUUUGUGGGAAAAUAAGAGGAAAGAAACAUAGAAAAGGAAAAAAAAAAAAGGAAAGAUGACUCACGGGUCACGGGCUCUAACCAGGCCUUCCCCUCUCUCUCUCUCUCCCUCCCUUCCUCCCUCAUCACUCACCAUGGCCCAAGCACACGAGCGAGCCCACUAACCAGGUCCUGGUUGAUUUUUUUUUUUGCAAAAAAGGUUCUGAUUGAUUAUAAUUGAGAAAAAAUCUUUUCCUCCCACAACUUUCAUGAAAAUCCACUUUUGCUCCCUCAAUCUAAAAUCGGGCGAAUCACCUCCCUUAACUUUUUAAACCGUGCAUUCUACCUCCCUGGAGCAAUUUCGAAGGUGGUUUUGCUACAGUGAAUAGUGGUUUUGCUACAAUAAUAGUGGUUUUGUCUUUUUCUUUUUAAAUUAUUUCGGCUGAAUAUUUGAAAAAUCAAAGUAAAUCACAGAAAAAUCAUAAAAUAGAAAAUCUAAUUUUUUAAACUCCACACAAGUAGAUCUACAUAGUAAACAUAUAAUAUGAUAUGCUUUAGUACAAAGUUUUUGCUAUAAAGGUUUUGUCCUUUUCUUUUAUAAUUUAUUUGGCUGAAUCUUUGAAAAAUCAUAGUAAAACAUAGAAAAAACAUAAAAUAGAAAAUAUAUUUUUCCUAGACUCCGCAUGAGUAUAUAUACAUAAUGAACAUAUAAUAUAUGUAUGUUUUAGUCCGACAAAAUAAUUAUAGAAGCUACAGCUAUGAGUUAUUUCAAUUAAUUACAUAAAAGCAUAGAUCUAAAGCUACAACAAAAGAAUUAUACUAAAGCAUACCAUAUUAUAUAUUUACUAUGUAGAUAUGCUCAUGUGGAGUCUAACAAAAUUAUACUUUAUAUUUUAUGACUUUUCUGUAAUUUACUAUGAU